GCGCUCGCUUCGGCAGCACAUGUACUAAAAAUGGACCGAUACGGAGUAGAUUAGGAUGGCCCCUGUGCAAGGAUGACAUGCAAAUUCGUGAAGCGUUCCAUAUUUUU